rnacentral:rRNA from 1 species
UACAGAGGUCUCAAGCGUUGUUCGGAUUCAUUGGGCGUAAAGGGUGCGUAGGCGGCGUGGUAAGUCGGGUGUGAAAUCUCGGAGCUUAACUCCGAAACUGCAUUCGAUACUGCCGUGCUUGAGGACUGGAGAGGAGACUGGAAUUUACGGUGUAGCGGUGAAAUGCGUAGAUAUCGGGAGGAACACCAGUGGCGAAGGCGGCUACCUGGACCAUCACUGACACUGAGGCACGAAAGCGUGGGGAGCAAACAGG